rnacentral:tRNA from 1 species
GCCUCUAUGGCAAAGUGGCUAAUGCGUCGCACUUGUAAUUCAAGUCAUGCGAAGAUCCCUCGUUCGAUUCGGGGUGGAGGCA